CCUACGGGAGGCAGCAGUGAGGAAUAUUGGUCAAUGGACGAGAGUCUGAACCAGCCAAGUAGCGUGAAGGAUGACUGCCCUAUGGGUUGUAAACUUCUUUUAUAUGGGAAUAAAACGUUCCACGUGUGGGAUUUUGUAUGUACCAUAUGAAUAAGGAUCGGCUAACUCCGUGCCAGCAGCCGCGGUAAUACGGAGGAUCCGAGCGUUAUCCGGAUUUAUUGGGUUUAAAGGGAGCGUAGGUGGAUUGUUAAGUCAGUUGUGAAAGUUUGCGGCUCAACCGUAAGAUUGCAGUUGAAACUGGCAGUCUUGAGUACAGUAGAGGUGGGCGGAAUUCGUGGUGUAGCGGUGAAAUGCUUAGAUAUCACGAAGAACUCCGAUUGCGAAGGCAGUUCACUGGACUGCAACUGACACUGAGGCUCGAAAGUGUGGGUAUCAAACAGGAUUAGAUACCCUUGUAGUC
rnacentral:rRNA from 1 species